rnacentral:rRNA from 1 species
AGCGAACGCUGGCGGCAGGCCUAACACAUGCAAGUCGAACGAACCUUUCGGGGUUAGUGGCGGACGGGUGAGUAACACGUGGGAACGUGCCUUUAGGUUCGGAAUAACUCAGUGAAACUUGUGCUAAUACCGAAUGUGCCCUUCGGGGGAAAGAUUAAUCGCCUUUAGAGCGGCCCGCGUCUGUUUAGCUAGUUGGUUGAGGUAAUGGCUCAUCAAGGCUAGUUUGUGUAGUUGGUUUGAGAGGAUGAUUUGUCACAUUGGGACUGAGACACGGUCCAAAAUCCUACGGAACGCAGCAGUGGAUAAUCUUGCGCAAUGGGCGAAAGCCUGACGCAGCCAUGCCGCGUGAAUGAUGAAGGUCUUAGGAUUGUAAAAUUCUUUCACCCGAAACGAUAAUGACGGUACCCGGAGAAGAAGCCCCGGCUAACUUCGUG